rnacentral:rRNA from 1 species
AACAAACGCUGGCGGCGUGCCUAAUACAUGCAAGUCGAACGGGGAAAGCUUUCGGGUGAGUACUAGUGGCGCACGGGUGAGGAACGCGUGGAUAAUCUGCCUUAGAGUGGGGGAUAACUAGUCGAAAGAUUAGCUAAUACCGCAUAAGACCACAGGAGCUGCGGCUCAAGGGGUCAAAGGUUUUUCGCUCUAAGAUGAGUCCGCGUAAGAUUAGCUAGUUGGUGAGGUAACGGCUCACCAAGGCGACGAUCUUUAACUGGUCUGAGAGGAUGAACAGUCACAAUGGAAAUGAGACACGGUCCAGACUCCUACGGGAGGCAGCAGUAGGGAAUAUUGCACAAGGGAGGAAACUCUGAUGCAGCGAGGCCGCGUGAGUGAUGAAGGCCUUCGGGUCGUAAAGCUCUGUCGCAGGGGAAUAACACAAUGAAGGUACCCUGUAAGAAAGGAUCGGCUAACUUCGUGCCAGCCGCCGCCGUAACAC